UACGUAGGGUGCAAGCGUUGUCCGGAAUUAUUGGGCGUAAAGAGCUCGUAGGCGGUUUGUCGCGUCUGCUGUGAAAACUCGGGGCUUAACCCCGGGCCUGCAGUGGGUACGGGCAGACUAGAGUGCGGUAGGGGAGACUGGAAUUCCUGGUGUAGCGGUGGAAUGCGCAGAUAUCAGGAGGAACACCAAUAGCGAAGGCAGCUCGCUGGGACGGUACUGACGCUAAGGCGCGAAAGCGUGGGGAGCGAACAGG
rnacentral:rRNA from 1 species